rnacentral:tmRNA from 1 species
GGGGCUGUUUAUUGGUUUCGACGGAAGUUUUAAUAGCUUAAGUGGCAAGUGGAAGGCACUCCUUACGUGCAAACAAAAAUAAAUAACAACAAUAAUAAUUAUGCUUACAACGCAGCUUUCGCUGCUGCUUAAUUAAAUAAUUAUGUAAGCGCUUCUUAUUAAGUUUUUCUCACGAACUUUUUAAGAGGCUCAUAUUAGUGAGAUAUAUCAUUUUUUUGUUUAGGAGAAAGUGAUGAACUUAACUAAACUCGCUUAUGGGUAGGUGUGUUAGCCUCCUUUACUCAUUAGUUAAACUAAAAUGCUAACUAAACUUGUAGAGAUUUAAGUCGCUUGACUUUCGGACAGGGGUUCGACUCCCCUCAGCUCCACCA